UGCGGGAUAGAGCAGUCUGGUAGCUCGUGAGGCUCAUAAUCUUAAGGUCGCAGGUUCGAAUCCUGCUCCCGCUA
rnacentral:tRNA from 1 species